rnacentral:rRNA from 1 species
GAUGAACGCUGGCGGCGUGCUUAACACAUGCAAGUCGAACGGGGUUAUGAAGUGUGAGGAGUCAGCUUGCUGGUGACGAACAGUUCAUAACUUAGUGGCGGACGGGUGAGUAACGCGUGGGUAACCUGCCAUAUACAGGGGGAUAACACUUAGAAAUAGGUGCUAAUACCGCAUAAGCGCACGGAGCUGCAUGGCUCAGUGUGAAAAACUCCGGUGGUAUAUGAUGGACCCGCGUCUGAGUAGCUUGUUGGCGGGGUAACGGCCCACCAAGGCGACGAUCAGUAGCCGGCCUGAGAGGGUGGACGGCCACAUUGGGACUGAGACACGGCCCAA